CCUGACUUCUGGAGAGGGAGAGGGAUGGAGAUUGAAUUCAAUCACCAAUGGCCAAUGAUUUAAUCAACCAUGCCUGUGUCAUGGAACACAGGAAACCUAAACAACAUAAAAAUCCUUAACAACAGGGUUUGUUGAGUUAGUGCCUCCUUGACAACAGUGAUUAUUGGCGUGCCUCUCAACAUCCAGCAGAAUGUGGGAAUGUUUCAUGGCAUGAUAUGGCUCAAUCCACAGACAAAGGCUGCUGAGCCCAGAACAGCUUAUUGGACGAGCCCCUAUGAGAAGCAGAAAUGUAUAGAAGCAAACUGAACCCAAGGAAAGAUUGGUGAUACUUUGGGAGGGAUGACAGAGGAAGGGGAAACACACUGUCCAUCCCUGUCCCAGCAAGGAGCCAGCUCCCAUUCGGCAGUCCCUCUGAACAUCUAGGUAGCUUCCCCCUUCUUUCUGUCCAGUUGUGAGCAGCCACCAACUAUGAUGCCCCUCUUCCAGCAGGCUUUGCUUUCACAUCACAAAGCAUCAUCCUGAGAAACAAUUACAGUUCUUUUUAGAGUUCUGGUUCCUUCAUAGGUACCUAUUGUCCUAAUAAAUGGAA
rnacentral:lncRNA from 1 species